UUUUAGUAGAGAUGGGGUUUCUCCACGUUGAUCGGGCUGGUCUUGAACUCCAGACCUCAGGUGAUCUGCCUGCCUCGGCCUCCCAAAGUGCUGGGAUUACAGGCAUGAGCCACGGUGCCCAGCCUUUAAUGCCAUUUUUAAAAUGCCUUUCCCCAAAAUGAUUCCUCUUCAACUUACCUCUCUGCUUCAGAUGAGCCAAUUGUGAUUCAUUUGUUCAUUAAUUCAUCAGGUUUAAAAACAUGAACUAUGGUAGCAUCGGGCAAGCUGAUGGUUACAGAGGGCAGUGGCCACCGUUCAGGGGACUGCAGCGUCCUGGGAGAGAGACUCGGGAAGACCAGGAGAUGGCGACGCAUGGGAAAGGCUCUGCUGGAGGAAAAUUCGUUUCCAAGACUCACACUAAGAGCCACAGAAACCAGAGUGAAAGCCCAAGCCCUGAUUUGCCAAAGCCAGUUGAGACGUAGAAUAUUACCUUCUCCAAAUCAUUGGGAGCGCAGUCUUUCCUCGAAAGCAACCAAGAUUUUCAAGAAACCACUUUUUAUAAUUUGACUCUGACAUUGUA
rnacentral:lncRNA from 1 species